GCCUAACACAUGCAAGUCGAACGAGACCUUCGGGUCUAGUGGCGCACGGGUGCGUAACGCGUGGGAAUCUGCCCUUAGGUACGGAAUAACUCAGGGAAACUUGUGCUAAUACCGUAUGAUGUCUUCGGACCAAAGAUUUAUCGCCUAGGGAUGAGCCCGCGUUGGAUUAGCUAGUUGGUGGGGUAAAGGCCUACCAAGGCGACGAUCCAUAGCUGGUCUGAGAGGAUGAUCAGCCACACUGGGACUGAGACACGGCCCAGACUCCUACGGGAGGCAGCAGUGGGGAACAUUGGACAAUGGGCGCAAGCCUGAUCCAGCAAUGCCGCGUGAGUGAUGAAGGCCUUAGGGUUGUAAAGCUCUUUUACCCGGGAAGAUAAUGACUGUACCGGGAGAAUAAGCCCCGGCUAACUCCG
rnacentral:rRNA from 1 species